GAAAUACUUAUCGGGAUAAAUGGGGGUGCUCUCUCCCAAGCUGAAUUUUGACGUAAUUUCUCUUGAUGUAGCUAGCAGGUGGCAGAGGUGUAUUUGAAAGUCAGCAGCAUUCUGACAGCGCUUAGAAUGUCCUCCGUCUGCUAGUCUUCUUGAUUCUUAAAUUCUGUGGAGCUCAAAUAGACAACAAAGCUUGUGGAACUGAUUAAGUGUUAGCAUAAAUGUAUAGCCUUUAUCAUGUUGAGUCUCCUCAAUAAAUAUUACUCUCUAUUUUUAUAUUUUCAUUUUAUAAAGCAGAAAAAAUAUUUAUUUUAUUUUUAUGCCACCACAGUAAAUGUACUUAUGGGUUUCAUGCCACUCGUAUACUCACAUAGGGCUUAUUGUUUUUCAUUUUUUUAUUUUCUUUUUAGAAUAGUAUGAACCUGAUUAACUAAGUAAACUAGUUGAAAUAAUUGAAAGGAAAAAGAUAACUACCAAGUUUACCUCUUGGCAAGGCGUUCGGUGUUUUUAAGUCCUCCGAACGGGACUCUCCAUUUUCUCAAUUGUCCUGGCAUUCGUUGGGUGGCGGAGUCGGUACUUCCAGCGGCACCUCUUCUUCAUGUAUAGUUAUCUUCUCUUUCCAUACCUGACUCGGUGCUAUGGUCUCCACUGGAUAAUUCUAUUUAAACUCUACGUCUUCUGAUCUUACAACUUCUCCUUCAUAGUCUGCCCAUCUGUCCUUAAUGAUCUGCCUCCUCUGGUUGCGGUUGCGUCGUUUUCUGACCUGCUUAGAUUCUUCAACGAUAUAGUCAGGGUCAAUAAAAUAACUGCGUACCUUCUCUGAGGGGAAGUGCAUAUGGACUUCUCCGGUUCCAAUGCAGAUAAUUGCUUUAACGGUGCUGAGGAACGGUCUUCCAAGGAUGAUGGGUGGAUCGUAUUCAUCUUCUCCCAUGUCAAUAACUUUAAAGUCUGUGUAGACAAAAUGAUCGUCUAUUUUGACAGGGACAUCAGUUACUGUUCCUUUAACUUCUCAAAAUAUCUGAUCUGCCAUCUGGAGCUGAAUGUAUGUUGGUCUUAGGGGCAUGUUUCCGAACAAGAGCCGACAGGUGACUACGGCCAUUAUGUUGACGCCCGAUCCAGUGUCGCAAAACGUCUUGUAGAAGCUGUAUCUAUUUAUGGAGCAGUAGAUGCUUGGCAUUCCUGGGUCGUCCUUCUUGGUCAAAAAUGGUGACUUAAGUUGAUCAUCUUGACCUCCAUGAACUGCAGUGACCAUCUUAGCUGACUCGGUCCACCCUUGCUUGUUCCUGUUCCUCCUGUUGGUCCUCUUCCUUGAUUCACGUCUGGAUUGAUCUGGGAUUUGUGUAGUCUUGUUCUUGAAGAAAAACGUCUCCUUCCUCCCUUUGAUGUAGAAACUGAUCUUGGCAGAACUAGCAUAGAUGACAGCUCUCGAGGUGUUUAAGAAUGGCCUCCCUAAGAUGAUGGGUGCUCUCUCAUCAUUACCGGUCUCUACCACUACGAAGUCUGCUGGGGC
rnacentral:lncRNA from 1 species